UACGUAGGGGGCAAGCGUUAUCCGGAUUUACUGGGUGUAAAGGGAGCGUAGGCGGCUGUGUAAGCCGGAAGUGAAAGCCCGGGGCUCAACUCCGGGACUGCUUUUGGAACUACAUGGCUUGAUUGCAGGAGAGGCAAGUGGAAUUCCUAGUGUAGCGGUGAAAUGCGUAGAUAUUAGGAGGAACACCAGUGGCGAAGGCGGCUUGCUGGACUGUAAAUGACGCUGAGGCUCGAAAGCGUGGGGAGCAAACAGG
rnacentral:rRNA from 1 species